GUUGCCAUAGGAACAGCAAUAUCUGGAGUACAUCAUACAGAGACGGAAGGUCCAGGUCAUCUCUGCCAGGUUUCUACUCAUUAAAUGUGUUUGAUGGAGGAUGGGAGAUGUUUGGAUGGGAUUAGUUUGACAUAGCUCUGGGAUUUGAGAUCCUUCCAGAUCUCUACUGCUUCUGUAAACUGAGCAGUAGAAUGAACCGCAGGUAAUAUACGGUAUCAUUGUACGUCCCGUCUGAAUGGGCGUGUCGGUAGAGAUCGUGUUACGUUCCUUGGGAAAAAGAGCUUUUGCUUUUUUCUUCAGUAUAAAGUCGCUCCAGGAAGAGCUCGUCUCUCUUCUUCUUUUUUUUUUUUAAAUCGAAAAACAAAAUGAAACCGCGUUUAAAAAUGUAAAACUGUCAAUCACAGACAGUGUUUAAAAGGGCGUGUCCAAGACGCAAUGCUUCCUAGUUCUUGAGCUCCUAGCACAGGUACAGAUUACAGAUAUGUCAUUAUGCUCAUGUGAUUUACUAAUGAGCACGGGCAACUUGUCUGGCCACGCCCCUUACAACAAGAGUUUAUAAUAAAGGACUAAAGAACAGUUUGUAUAAGUGUAAAAUGAGGGAUAGUACGCCUGCUACGUACAUACACGAGGAUUCAAGGUGUACAGGACAGAAAGCAGCAACGUGAUAGGCAUCUACAUUUAUGAUCCUCCACCUGCUGGAGCAGUUGCUGCUGGUGUCAUCACCACAAUCGUAGGUGUCAUAAUCCUUGUACUCCUCUGUAUUUAUGGUGCCAGUAAGUAAGACGUACGAGAUCUUCACUGAGUGGCAAUAACACAACUCCACCACAUGGGGUUCCCAAAGAGCACAAUGGAAAAUAUCGUGAAAAAAACGUAUCACACGGGUCCACGAAUUACACGUAUUAAUCUCUAUGUAAAGGAAAAAGACAUUUUAAACAGAGGAAAUGUUUUCAUCUCAACCACCUUUGCUCCUGUUUCUUGUAAAUAAUUUAAAGCAUUAAUUAAACCUCAGUUUUGAAUAUCCACGUCCACACUAACCACAAAUUGUGUAUCUUCUGAUAUAUUCUUUUAAAUAUUUCAGUGUCCAUUACAGAUUAUGAAAAAUGUAUAUUUCUGUUUUCCUGUUACCUGAACACAUUCACCCCUAUGAUAUAUACAUAUCUGGAAUAUUCCAUACUUGUUCAACAGGAAGUUGCAUCACAAAUUUCCUGAAGAUCACGG
ensembl:lncRNA